CUUUACCUAGCGACGGACGGGUGAGUAAUGCUUAGGAAUCUGCCUAUUAGUGGGGGACAACAUUCCGAAAGGGAUGCUAAUACCGCAUACGUCCUACGGGAGAAAGCAGGGGACCUUCGGGCCUUGCGCUAAUAGAUGAGCCUAAGUCGGAUUAGCUAGUUGGUGGGGUAAAGGCCUACCAAGGCGACGAUCUGUAGCGGGUCUGAGAGGAUGAUCCGCCACACUGGGACUGAGACACGGCCCAGACUCCUACGGGAGGCAGCAGUGGGGAAUAUUGGACAAUGGGGGGAACCCUGAUCCAGCCAUGCCGCGUGUGUGAAGAAGGCCUUUUGGUUGUAAAGCACUUUAAGCGAGGAGGAGGCUACUUAGAUUAAUACUCUAGGAUAGUGGACGUUACUCGCAGAAUAAGCACCGGCUAACUCUGUGCCAGCAGCCGCGGUAAUACAGAGGGUGCGAGCGUUAAUCGGAUUUACUGGGCGUAAAGCGUGCGUAGGCGGCUGAUUAAGUCGGAUGUGAAAUCCCUGAGCUUAACUUAGGA
rnacentral:rRNA from 1 species